rnacentral:lncRNA from 1 species
UAUCUGUCAUCAAAACCACAAGGGACCUGGACCACUUCACAUUUGGUUGUUGAAUGAAGCUGUUCUUCGGUUACUAGAACUGCUGCACGACAGCUGAUCAGCUGUACAAUCAACUGAUAGAACCAGGAACAAUCACACGAUAGCAUAAAAUUCAUGAUUUCUUCACAGAGUUCAUCAAUACUUGGUAUGUUGUUUGUAGCUCACUUAGGCCAGAAAAGAAAAAAAAAAAGGAAAAAGUCAGAAUGAAGAACCUCCAUGCCAAGUUGUUCUCCUACACCAUGGCAGCCUGCGAGAAGUUCAGUGGUGUGGCAUUUUAAGAGGCCAAUCUGACUUGGCAAGAGAGCUCUUGGUUUUAUUCAACCCUUUGCUAUCUCACAAAGUUGUUACAUAUAAAGCAGGUUUAGGCAGGAUGCAAACUGAAGGCCAUUAUCCCUAGGAAAGAUUUCACUGAUCAAGAUUUGAAAUUCCUGUAGAUGUUUCUACUUAGUCUCAUUCCAGGAAAGGCACGAGGGCCCUUGCUGGCCUGUUAAGGAACUCAGCUCAGUGAAGUAACCUGUGGGGAAGAUACGGCCAGGGCAAAAGCUAAGGACACUGAUUACUAAUCAAGUGUGUAUGUUUCCAACAAAGAGAAAGAUACCUUUGACAGUUCUUCAAUCAAAGGCUUUCCAUGAAAUGGUAUAUUUCAAGCCAGCAACCAAAGGGAUGCCAAGUGGAAAACCCAAACAAAUUCAACAGAUUGACAUCUCUCCAGCCAUUUCCAUUAGGCUGCUUUUUAACAAGUUCAUUUACACAAGAGCAGAGACCAGAGCACACCCAGCCCCAGAACCAUGGAGCUGCCCUGCAGAAUGGGGUUAGGGUGGGGGAGGCCUGCCUCUCCCAAGUUGGGGCUGAGGAGUCAGUUAGCCAGGACUGCCUCGCCUGGAAAUAA